UUUUUUUUUUUUUUUUUUUAGGGCCUCAACCAUGGCAUAUGGAGAGUCUCAGGCUAGCCAUCAAAUCCGAGCUAUAGCUGCUGGCCACAGCCACAGCAAUGCCAGAUCCGAGUUACGUCUGCAACCUACACCACAACAUGGCUCGGAUCUGGUGUUGCUGUGGCUGUGGUAUAGGUUGGCGGCUGCAGCUCGGAUUCGAUCCCUAGCCUGGAAACCUCCAUAUGCCAUGGGUGUGGCUCUAGAAAAGACAAAAAAAAAAAAGAAUCAGAUGAUAGCACCUUCCAGAAACAUGUCCCCCCCUGCAAGGCGUGGUCUCUGAGAGGCAGCACAGUGACGGAGCCAUUUGGUGGCCUAAAGGCAGAGCUUAGGGCCUGGGUGGGUGUUAGUGGGGUGGGUGGGGGGACAAGCUGGCAGGCUUUAAGCACCCAGCUGUGGCACAGAGAUACAGAUGUUGUGUGAUGAGAACGUGUGAAGGAGAUGCUUCUCCCCCUCCCCUGCUCCUGAGUCUGAGGAGUGCACCUAGCUGUUGAGGAAACAGAGGCGGAGGGGCUGAGCGGUAGCAUGUGGCAGCUUUGCAUCCUCAGCACAGUCCAGAGCUGGUCAACUGCCCUACUGUUCUGGAAUCACAGGGCACAGGAAGAGUGAGACCUGCCUAAACACUGAAAUUCAUGCCUCUAAAAGGGUACCUUAGUCACCAUCCUCGUCCUUUCCGGAAAAUUCAAAUUCAUCUUCCAAAAACAGAGAAGGCUACGAGGGUAGAGGGACUGGGCAUGGCAGGUGUAAUACCUGAGACUUUGCGUGAAGCUGCAGCCCUUCCAUGACUUCGUCCUCUGCUUUUUGUCAGAAACACUAACUCUCGUAAAGCUACGAAAGGUUUAAUUCUUUCUGGAAAAAAAUAGGACCUUUGAAAGUAAGCUAGGGGCAUAGGAGUGAAACAGAAGGUGCUGGAGGUCCUGCGGUGGCGCAUCAGUAAUGAACCUGACUAGUAUCCAUGAGGACGGACGUGGGUUUGAUCCCUGGCCUCGCUCAGCAAGGGUUCUAACCCACAUCCUCCUGGAUACUAAUCGGGUUCUUAAUCACUGAGCCAUAAUGGAAACUCCAAUUUGCUGCAGGUGUGGCCCUAAAAAGCAAAAAGGAAAAAGAAAGAAGGAAAAAAGCAAAAGCACCACAGCUUUCCCUACCAAGGCCAGGUGCUGCCCCCUCCUCUAGGCCUCCUUUUCACAUGUGGGGAGAAGCUGAGGACAGGGGAGGCCAGGAAGAAGACAGGACCACUGAGAGAGGCUCUUCCAGGCUCUCGGGCAUAGCUCCCCACCUUGGAGGGCUACCCUGCCCUUUGGAGUGAAGAACCAGAGCUGGGGAGGGAGCAGGGAGAGCAUCAGCUGGGAGAGCUCCAGAGAGCCCGCAGGGGCUGGACCACAAAGGAAAGGAGGACCCUGCCAUGGUUACACAAUCAUCCAGGGGUGGGAGCAGCCAGCCCUGAGGAUCAGUGGGGUUGGGGGCUGCAACAGACAGGAACAGAUGGAAACUUGCAAAGCACAGCCCCCAGCAUUGCUCAUGAGCCAAGGCAGGGAUAUUUAUCUAAAACAAGUUAGUGUCCAGAACUGAAAGAUGAAGGAGCUGACCAAAUAGUUUUCUAAGAGAUGCCAUUAGGGGCUCCUGAGCCACCUCUCCGCCCACUUGAGAUGUGACUGGCAGCUGGAAGGCAGAAACGUUGAAGGCGUCCAGGCUGUGUUGGGCAUUGGGUUGGGGGAGGCAGCUAAGGGGGCUCUCAGCCCAACUGUUCUCCUCUUGCCCUUUUCUCUACUCUCAGUUUGCCUUAUGACACAUCAGGUUCUCAGGAAUAAUUUAAUCCUCAAGAAGCCAAGUCUCUGAUCUUUUCUUAGAAAGUGAAAACUUCUUGAAUGAUGCAUUAGCAAGCAAAACUAUUAUUAUUAUUUGCUUUUUAGGGCUACAUCCGUGGCAUAUGGAAGUUCCCAGGCUAGGGGUCCAAUCAGAGCUACAGCUGCCGGCCAACACCACAGCCACAGCAACGUGGGAUCCAAGUCGCAUCUGGGACCUAUACCACAGCUCACAGCAACACCAGAUCCUUAACCCACUGAGCAAGGUCAAGGAUCAAACCUGAAUCCUCAUGGAUACCGGUCAGAUUUAUUACUGCUGCAUCACCACGGGAACUCAUUUAUUUAUUUAUUUAUUUACUUAUUUUUCAUUUUAGGGCCACACCUGUGGCAUAUGGAAAUUCCCGGAACUAGGGGUCGAACUGGAGCUGCGGCUGAGGCCUAUGCCACAGCCGCAGCAACACAAGAUCCAAGCCACACUUUCCACCUACGCUGCAGCUUGGGGCAAUGCUGGAUCCUUAACCCACUGAGCCGAGGCCAGGGAUCGAACCCACAUCCUCAUGGAUGCUCUUAGGUGAAACAGCCAUAAAGGUGUCACCAUGAGCUAUAGAUCCACUCCAGUACUUACUUGCCACCACCUCAGAACCUUAUCAGAGGUUUUCUGUGUCUUAAACUUGGGCCAGCUAAAAAUUAAAACUCCCACCUGGACCAGACGCCAACCACCAUCCCAUGACUACAUGACUCAACACAGGACCCCUGCCCUAUAAAACUUAACUCUCCCUAAAUGGUGGGGAGCCUGAGUUCUUUUCUCAGUGUUCCUGGCCAUCUCACUGGUCAACAAAACUUGUUUGGGACCUCACUACUCCAGCUGACUGUCUUUUCUUCUAUAUGCUAACAGAUACUAGUAGGGUUCUUUUUUCUUUUGUUGUGUCUUUUUGUCUUUUUUAGGGCUGCACCCACGGCCUAGGGAGGUUCCCAGGCUAGGGGUCCAAUCGGAGCUGUAGCCACCAGCCUGCACCACAGCUCACGACAACACAGGAUCCUUAACCCAUUGAGCGAGGCCAGGGAUCGAACCAGCAACCUCAUGGUUCCUA
ensembl:lncRNA